rnacentral:rRNA from 1 species
GACGAACCGUGCGAACGUUGUUCGGAAUCACUGGGCUUCAAGGGCGCGUAGGCGGGCUGACAAGUCUGGGGUGAAAUGCCGCGGCUCAACCGUGGAACUGCCUCAGAUACUGUCGGCCUCGAGGAAGGUAGGGGCAUGCGGAACUGUAGGUGGAGCGGUGAAAUGCGUUGAUAUCUACAGGAACUCCGGUGGCGAAAGCGGCGUGCUGGACCUUUUCUGACGCUGAGGCGCGAAAGCUAGGGGAGCAAACGGG